AUGGCUGUCGUCAGCUCGUGUCGUGAGAUGUUGGGUUAAGUCCCGCAACGAGCGCAACCCUUAUCCUAUGUUGCCAGCGCGUAAUGGCGGGGACUCGUAGGAGACUGCCGGGGUCAACUCGGAGGAAGGUGGGGACGACGUCAAGUCAUCAUGCCCCUUAUAUCUAGGGCUGCAAACAUGCUACAAUGGCCAGUACAAAGGGCUGCUAUACCGCGAGGUUGAGCGAAUCCCAUAAAGCUGGUCUCAGUUCGGAUUGGAGUCUGCAACUCGACUCCAUGAAGUCGGAGUCGCUAGUAAUCCCGGAUCAGCAACGCCGGGGUGAAUACGUUCCCGGGCCUUGUACACACCGCCCGUCACACCACGAAAGUCGGCAACACCCGAAGUCAGUGGCCCAACCCGCAAGGGAGGGAGCUGCCGAAGGUGGGGUCGGCGAUUGGGGUGAAGUCGUAACAAGGUAGCCGUACCGGAAGGUGCGGCUGGAUCACCUCCUUUCUAAGGAGUCACCUGUCUCCCUCUCACGGGGGGACGACUCCCAAGUUGAUGCACUAGCUAUUCGCCCACGAACCCACUGGCCUGGUGGUAGAUGUACUUCUCCCGGGCCGGCCAGGGGAACUGGUCGUCGUCCUCUGUUCCGUUUUGAGGGAGUGCCCUCGGAGCCCCAGUGUUCGCACUGGGGCUUCGCCGUGUCCCCGCACAUGCCCCUUGAGAAUUGCAUAGCGAGCACGAGCAUCUUUGUUCUUCCAAGCUACAAAGUGCCAACGGUGGAUGCCUUGGCGUCUACUACCGAAGAAGGACGUGGGUGGCUGCGAAAAGCCACGGGGAGCUGCCGACCAAGCUUUGAUCCGUGGAUGUCCGAAUGGGGAAACCCGG
rnacentral:sRNA from 1 species